UACAUCAUUGCCUUUGUUAUUACGAUCAUUUGGAACUUUGAAACUCACAAUAAAAUGAUCUUAUUUGCAUUUUUCUAUAUUUUAAAUGCCUUUGAAGUGAGACCAGGAUUUGCAGACCUGUCUGAAACACCUGAAGUUGAAGUGCACUUGAAACAUUAUUACAUAGGUGAUGAUAUAAGCAUACGUUGUGGAGCCAAGAGAGGAAUCCGCUGCCAUUUCUACAUGAAUAGGAGUGAGGUCCCUUUCAGAUCAGUGCCAUACAGACAAGAGUAUGGGCAGUGUCACCUCUCUCUAUCUGUUGAGGAGCUGGUGGGGGACAGAGACUUUGGGAAUAGCAUUGAGGUGUCUCUGAGCUGUGCUGUGGAACUCCAAAUGGAUGGACAGCUGAAUAUUUCACAGCACAGUAAAGCUGAAAAAGUGACAGUAAUUGAUAAGUUAGAUAAAUAUGGAAGACCUCAUAUUCAAGUGGAGCACAAAGUGAUAAAGGACGAAAGUUCUGUUCAAGUACUCUGUCACUCUGAGGCUGGAAUACGCUGUUUCUUCUACAGUGGGCAUGCUAAACAACCUUUUUCAUCAAUUUCGUACAGUAAGGAAUUAAAAGCCUGUCACCUCACUGUGCCACAGAAGACUUUGCUGACAAGGACAGAGGACAGGAUGAGUCCUGAAAUCCUGCUGAGUUGCACUGUUGAAGUGAACUUAGAGGGAAGAGCAGUGACCUCACGACACAGCAAGAGUGUGAAAGUGAACAUAAACAGGAAAAGUGCAGGUUGGAAUGUGACUGAAGUGCCAUUGUCAGAAAAUACAAUUAAAAUGACCAGUUCAUUUACACCUGGAUCAGGAUACUCAAGUGUAAAAGUGAUGGGGUCAGCUGUCGGAGGCCUUACCUGUUUCACAAUAACAGUGGUUCUGGCUGUUAUCUACUUGAAAUGCAAACGGAACAAACUCAAAAGGGAAAGGAAACAGUUCCACCGGUCCAGUAUUUGUAAAGGUGGUCCUUAUCUCAUUCAGGACUCCGCAAAUCGCAGAACGAAUGUACAAAGCCGCAUAGCCUACCAGAACUAUGAGAAUGUCCAGGGGACUCCAUCCCCCCAAAACUGUGUCCAGUUUACCUAUGCAAAUGUCAAUCAAGAUUACCAGAGGCAUACAAAGGAUCAACAAAAUUACAAAAAUGUGCAGGCAACUUCAUCACUGAAACGGCCUUUCCAUCUUGCCAAGGACUUCUCUUACACAGAUGUUAAUGUCGGCCAAGACUGCAAAAGGCCUGAAAUGGAUCCACACAAUUAUGAAAAUGAGCAGGCGGCUUCAUCUCUAAAACAGCCCUUCCAGCUUGCCAAGGACUAUGUAAAUGUCAGUCAAGACUGCAAAAGGCCUGAAAUGGACAGCUCAUCUGAUGAUGAUGAUUACGAAAAUGUGCCAGAGUCCAAAAAGGACUAUGUAAAUGUUCUCGAGGAAUAGCAAAGGAUAAAAAACGUGGAUGGGCAGCAAUCUUGAUGUUCAGAAUGUGGCAAAAACGAAGGUCAUAACAGAGGAAGGGAUGGUUUUGAUGUUUACACAAACUGCCUAAACUUUAAACAAAUGACCACUGCCCAGAAGAGACCUGCCACUGGCUUUUAAGUAAGACAAGUGAACUACUGUAUACUGAAGCUGUGUUUUUCCUUUGUUAAAAUAUUUUUUUAAAUCAGACCUGCCCCUAGGCUUCAAUAUGUUCAAGCACUGUAUUGUAAGACAUACACAGGGGAAGAGUUCAAAUUGUUAGUGUUCAACAUUGGUAGCUGGAGCAAAUUGUUUGAAAAGGUCUCUGCAGGGCUAGAGAUAAAAGGGCCUUCCACCACAGAUUUUGGAAGGUGGAAGGUGAAAUAGAGCAAGUCUUGUGACAUGUGAAAGGAGGGCAAGAGGGUUAUUCUCCUUUAUGUAGUAUUAGCGAAAUUGUUAACUUCUAACUGAACUUUUCUGUUGUAAUUGUAUUGUUGACAGAA